rnacentral:rRNA from 1 species
GCGUAAUAGCUCACUGGUCGAGUCGGCCUGCGCGGAAGAUGUAACGGGGCUAAACCAUGCACCGAAGCUGCGGCAGCGACACGAUGUGUUGUUGGGUAGGGGAGCGUUCUGUAAGCCUGCGAAGGUGACCUGUGAGGGUUGCUGGAGGUAUCAGAAGUGCGAAUGCUGACAUAAGUAACGAUAAAGCGGGUGAAAAGCCCGCUCGCCGGAAGACCAAGGGUUCCUGUCCAACGUUAAUCGGGGCAGGGUGAGUCG